GGAAGAGUAGCCAAGUGGUCGACGGCACCGCUUUCGAAAAGCGGCAUGGCUGCAAAGUCAUCGCGAGUUCGAAUCUCGCCUCUUCCG
rnacentral:tRNA from 1 species